rnacentral:lncRNA from 1 species
GGCCCUCACGCGGCAGAGCCCCUUUGGAAAGACUGGCUGAGCUGGGGUGAGCACACCCGGAGGCGGGAGGUGAGUGCCUGCUGCGGGUCUCUGUGCUGUGGCGGCGGGAGGGCGACAGGUUUGAGGUCGCGAGAGACACCAGAGGACGGAGCAUCAGGAGGGCAGCACGGAUGGCGCAGCCACUCCAGGCUUUGGUGUGGACGAUGCAGCGCUCGACACCGCGGUGCCGGCAUGAGCGACCGCAGGCAGCAGGGCUGCAGGCCGGAGAGAUGCGUGCACUUGGACAGCGGCUGCAGGACAAGAAAGCCCUGCGCAAGGCUGAGUCCCGGCUUUGAGAUGCAAGAUCUGUGAAACUGCGCCUGGCCGGCGGAAAGGCAAAUGUCCGGAGAUGUUCAUACACCUGUGACUCACCGCCGCUUCCAUCAAGAUCUGUUGCCUCGCUUGUCAAAAUGCCCAAAUAAUUGGCUUGGCUGUGCUCAGAUAAACCAGUCACGUGAAUGAAUUGAGCCGCAGCGCUCGCUUUCUGGGGCUGCUUCCUGCAAGAGCGCUGAUCUUCGGAGGAGACGCACAUGCGCAUUAAAACGCCAGCGAGGGGCUGGGGAUUUAGCUCAGCGGCAAAAGCGCCUGCCUGGCAAGCGCAAGGUCGUGAGUUCGGUUCCCGGUACCGGAGAAAAACCAAA